rnacentral:rRNA from 1 species
GAUGAACGCUGGCGGUGUGCCUAAUACAUGCAAGUCGAGCGAACAGACGAGGAGCUUACUCCUCUGACGUUAGCGGCGGACGGGUGAGUAACACGUGGAUAACCUACCUAUAAGACUGGGAUAACUUCGGGAAACCGGAGCUAAUACCGGAUAACAUGUUGAACCGCAUGGUUCAACAGUGAAAGACGGUCUUGCUGUCACUUAUAGAUGGAUCCGCGUCGCAUUAGCUAGUUGGUAAGGUAACGGCUUACCAAGGCAACGAUGCGUAGCCGACCUGAGAGGGUGAUCGGCCACACUGGAACUGAGACACGGUCCAGACUCAUACGGGAGGCAGCAGUAGGGAAUCUGCCGCAAUGGGCGAAAGCCUGACGGAGCAACGCCGCGUGAGUGAAGAAGGUCUUCGGAUCGUAAAACUCUGUUAUUAGGGAAGAACAAAUGUGUAAGUAACUAUGCACGUCUUGACGGUACCUAAUCAGAAAGCCACGGCUAACUACGU